AUUGAACGCUGGCGGCAUGCCUUACACAUGCAAGUCGAACGGCAGCACGGACUUCGGUCUGGUGGCGAGUGGCGAACGGGUGAGUAAUGCAUCGGAACGUACCAUUGAGUGGGGGAUAACGUAGCGAAAGUUACGCUAAUACCGCAUAUUCUCUCCGGAGGAAAGCAGGGGAUCGUAAGACCUCUUGCUCUUUGAGCGGCCGAUGUCGGAUUAGCUAGUUGGUGAGGUAAAGGCUCACCAAGGCUACGAUCCGUAGCGGGUCUGAGAGGAUGAUCCGCCACACUGGGACUGAGACACGGCCCAGACUCCUACGGGAGGCAGUAGUGGGGAAUUUUGGACAAUGGGGGCAACCCUGAUCCAGCCAUGCCGCGUGAGUGAAGAAGGCCUUCGGGUUGUAAAGCUCUUUCAGCCGGGAAGAAAACGCAUGGGUUAAUACCCUGUGUGGAUGACGGUACCGGAAUAAGAAGCACCGGCUAACUACGUGCCAGCCGCCGCGUAA
rnacentral:rRNA from 1 species